AUCUUUUUCGAGACUGUAUCUUAUUAUAAACUUGUGUUUGGGGUCAGAAAGUAAAAAUUAUUGAACCGUAAUUCUUGCAGUGUCUGUAAAUCCUUUUCAAAAUGGCUAGUGAUGAAAUAAUUUGAAGUUUUGAAGCCAAGUGAGUCAACUAUUCCCUGAAGUGUAAAUGUUCAUCUGGGCGAGAUCUUUUCCUAAAUUGGACCUCAGCCAUAGUGCUGGUCCCAGAAACAGUUCCUUUUCAAAUAAGUCAUUGAUCAACUACAAACAAGUCUGCAGACUUCUGGUGGACAUAGGGUUGUUAUUUCCCCUCCCCAGGCAAACAACACCUUCCACCAAUACUCUCCUCUGGACUGUAUGUAGAGUGUGCACAUCUUUGCUUGCAUUUAAAGUUGUAAAGAGCGUUGGAAGAUGUCUCAGUUGUUUAAAGACAUGGACUGUUUUUCCAGAAGACAGGAGUCCAGUUCCCAGGACCCACAGCUGGUGGCUCACAACUGCCUGUAACCCCAGCUCUCUGGGAUCCAGCACCCCUGGUCUCUCCAAGGACCUUUCACUCGUGUGCUUGUACAGACAGGCAGAAACAAACGUGUGUAUGUAAUGAAAAGCGUCAUCAUAAACCUUUAAAGUUGUAAAGCAAUUGUUUGAAACCCUUAACACAAAUCUCUUUCAUUCACAGAGAUAAUUAAAAUAGAAGAUCCCUUGAAGGCUAUGAAAGCAGACUCAUGCCCACCUGAUCCAUGUACAUCUGUGUUAUUGCCCACAGACUUGUUGUUGAGGUCACUCGAACCUCAGGAAAUACUCGGUGAUAGUUAAACCUUGUCCAACUCACUUACAAGGCAAAUUAGAGAUUUCUUCUAAACCUUGAAACAGUAGUCAAUUUAUAAAAAGUGUUUGUUUUAAUGAAGAACUCUAUUACAAAAAUAUCUUUAAGAUGUGCUUAAGUCAAUAUUUCUGUGUAUGCUAUAAAUAGAUUUAUAUGAUUCUGAUGUCUGUGUGUAUGUGUGCUUUAGAUUUAUAUGCUAUUUAAAUCAUACAUAUACAUGUUCUAUAAAUAGAAUUGUUAUUUAUAUGUAAGUUACAUAUGAGUUAGUGUAAAAUUGUCAUAAUUUCAGUAAAUUAUAUACAUUUUCACCUCAUAAAAAGUGUUGAAUACAAUUUUCUUGGGUUAAAUUACUAAUAGAACAAGAGUGGCCAGAGCACUGGUUUAUGCACAAUUGCACAUGUGUAGUAGAAUUUUACCACCAUCUUUGCCUGAUGAGGUAGGCAGUGCUGGCCCCUAAAUACCAUGGAGGUCACUGAACAGAGGAAUCUCAGCCAAGAGUGCUUGCUCUGGGAGUAUGGGUUUGACCUUCCUGUUGUCAUAGCAUCAGAGUUUUGAGACUUUUUCCCUGCCUGCUCACUUAUGAUGAGAAGUGUACUUUUACAUUCUUGAGAGACAGUCUCAUGUCGUCCAGGUUAACCUCCACCUCACUAACUAGCCAAGAAUGGCCUUGAACUGCUGAUCCUCCUGCCUCCAUUUGCUGAGGAAAGGAAUUACGGGUGUGUGUCAUCACAUGUGAUUGACAUGGUGCGAGGGAUUACAUCACAUUCAGAGCUUGUUUGUGUGUUAGACAAGGACUCUACCAACUGAGUCUCUUCCCUCUUCUGGACAAGAGAUUUCAACAGUUACAUAGCUAGGUUGCUAUGAAGUACUAACUCUGAUAAUGUUUUCUUCACUAUUGUGUCAAUAUUUGUAAACUUGCAUUUCUUUCUAAUAAGUGCUAUAUUUAGACUUAGGAGACAGAGCCUAAACUUAGGGACCAGAGAUCCAACUAACCAGUAGUGUGUAGUCUACAACCCACAUUACUCCUUUGCCAGCCAUUCCCUUUAGUGAAAUGGUCCAGAAUAAAACUAUUUCUGUUAUUUCAUCCUAGAGGUUUCUUUACGCUAAUAACAAGGUUAAAUGGAAUAAAAAUAAAAUAGCUCCCCCAUACCUUAGCUUGACUCCAUCCCUUCUGUAUGAUUGAGCCCAACCAUUCUUGAUUGUACUUUUAACCUAUUAACAUGUGCUAUGCAAUCUAUUAAUUUAUAUAAAGUUCCAUUAUGGUUUGGAACUGGAGACAUGGCUCACUGGUUAAGAAAGCUUGCUCUACAUGUCAGGUAGCUCACAACCACCUGUAACUUCAUCUCCAGGGAGGUCUGAUGACCUUUUCUGGCUCUGCAAGUAAACACAGAGAUACACACAUACACACACACACACACACACACACACACACACACAAAGAGAGAGUGAGAGAG
rnacentral:lncRNA from 1 species